UGAGGACGGUCUACAACCAAACAUCAAGCUGUUGGAUCAUCUUGAAUCCAUGUGAACCGACAUAACCAGAUUGUUCAUGUCUAAGCAAAGAAGAUGGACAAAGUACAUAUGCAGUGGAUUCUGUUUCUUCUUACUGUAAUGGCCCAGAAUCAUCUGAUAGUUUCUCAGCUCUAUCAGUAUCACUAUGUUAGUGAGGAAAAAACCUGGACUGAAGCUCAGCAGUACUGCAGUCAGAAACACACUGACCUGGCCACAGUGACUAACAUGAAGGACAUGAAGAGACUCAUCAGUGUCUCACUAGGAGAUAUAAAGGAAGCUUGGAUUGGUCUGUAUGACCAAAGAAACGUAAAUAGAGCAUGGUGCUGGUCUCUGCCUGGAGUGGAGUUCAAUAAAAGUGAAACAAACUGGGCAGCAGAUGAACCAAAUAAUCUUGGAUCUGAAGGCCCAAACUGUGGGAUUAUAUGGAAAAGUUCCCCUUCUUUUUCUCAAGUGGGCAGAUUUAUCCUGUAAUGAAAAGCACAAUU